AUUAAAAAGAGAGAAAAAAGGAAAUCGUUUGAAAAUUUGAAAGAGUGAAUACACUGUAGUAGACUAAAAUAAAAUGAUGGAAGGAAAUAGAAUCUGAAAAAAUUUACAAAAAAGCAAAAAAUAUAGUAAAAAAAUUCAAGAAAAAUAUUUUAAUAGAAAUUGAAAGUAAAAAUGAAGUUUUUCUCUUUCUGCAUUCAAGAAAAAGAAAAGAAACAAAAAAGAGAAAAAAGAAAAAGGAAGAAAAAAGGAUCAUUUGAAAAUUUGAAAAGGUGAAUACAGUGAAGUAGACUCAAAUGAAAUGAUGGAAGUAAAAUAGAAUUUGAAAAAGUUUACACAAAAGUAAAAAAUAUAGUAAUAAAAAUGAAAGAAAAAUAUUUUUAAUAAAAAUUGAAAAUAAAAAUAAAUUUUUUCUCUUUCUGUAUUCAAGAAAAAGAAAAGAAGUGUAAAAGAGAAAAAAAAAAGAACAAAAGAAAAUUGAAUAGAUGGACCUGCUAACAGAUUGAAGUAGCACUGAAAUUAUUUCGUUUUCCCCUAGAAGUCAGUCUAUGUAGCACUUUAUAGUCCAUUAACCAAGCCGGCCUUGAGACUCGUGUUCUUGAGAGCAAAGUUGGCCCAGUUGGGCAGGGCUCAGUGUAACGUUUGCGUUCUCCACUAGAUGGCGCUGCUAGCCUACUGGGGUGGAUUGUUGCUGCACUUGUAGGUGUGUAUGCGCAUGUGCAGGAGCAAUGAAAAUGGCUCCCCCCAGCUGCACAGUCUGUUCUCCUGAAUCAGCAAUCGCGCAUCUGUUUUCUGUCUUCAGCUUUCAUCCACUCCCUGCUUUUUCACCCUCCGUGACCAGGCCCCAGGCAGUAUCUCUCUCCCAAGUUUUUUCUCAGUUGCAGCUGUUUUCCCUGGCCCCUUACUUCUGAAGGACUGCAGCUUUGCCCUGUUCUGCCCUUCUGCGGGAGGAUCUCACCGAGCAUUGGCUGAAUGAGCAAUGGCGGAAUAUUGGCUGCACCCAGGAAUGCUUGCUGGACCCUGCUACUGCCAGUGCCCUGAGACUAUGGCCAGAUGUCAGCUGGCCCCAGAAAAAGUUCAUGAGAUAGUGUAGCAGCAGCGUUUCAGGGAUUAUGGAAAAUCACAACACACAUCUGGCACCAGGCUUCACCCUUAAUGACCUUGUUCCAGCACCAGCGAAUGUGGCCAUUCUCUGGGGUCUGCUGGGACCAGGUGGCUUCAACAGUCUCUACCAAAUGUCCUUCCAGCAGUGCAACGGCUUUUCCAGACCCCACUCUGUUCCUGGGGAUUCGCCCUUCCCACCAGAGCACCGCCAGUAUUGAGUAACCCCCGUUGGGUAUAAGAAGAGUCUCCAGAGGGCGUGAAGGACAUUGCCAUCCCCAAAUCCAGAGUCAUUUCCAUUGGCAGCCAAAAGAAGGAACCAACAACCUGCACGUUCCGAGCAGGAAGAAAGCCAAGCUCAGUUCCACAAAACAAGUGAGAAGACAAGUGAGAAAACAAGUGAGAAGGCAAUAUCUAUCUCGGGGAGAGAAAAGGUUAUAAAACUAAGAGUAGAAGUCCUAAAAAUGGAGAAUACAGAAGAGAAGGAACGUCCUGGCUCUCGGAGUUACUAUUUUGAAGAGAGUUGCCCAGGAGAGCCACAGAACCAGAUAUAUUCAUAUUAUCAUUUGCAGGAGUGAGGAAUACCAAGCAGUUCUGCUAACCAUGGAGAUGUAGGAGUCACUUUUUAUCAAAGUCUAAGUUAAUUACACUUCUCAAUGCAGAAAGUACUGCCUAAAAAUGAAAAUGAAGUACUGUAAACAAGAAAAUGUGUGGUUUGGUUUAGAGAUUAGGUAAUAGACAUGACAAAACAGAUAAAACUGUCUACAAAUAUGGACAUCGAUAAUAAGCAGAGAAACAUUUGCUAAAACUGUUGCCUUUAUGAUCAUUUGCAAAGCAUAUCAUAUGUCCUAAACAGACUGUAGAUCUUAAGGAAUUGAUUUGAGAAGAGAGCAUUCAUUGAAUCUAUUAUUGACAUUCUAUUAAAAACUAUUCAUUUUCAAAAUAAUCGUUCACCUUUUUUUUCUGGCAUAAAUCAAAAUAAAUAAAAACUCCCCAAAAUGGGCAAUUAUCAGAGUUUUAAAAAGUGACAUUUUCUAAGCCAAGAAUCAGCCCACCAAACUGUUUUUUGUAAACACAGUUUUAUUGGAAGACAGCCAUACUAAUUCAUUAUGUAUUGUCUAUGGCUUCUUUGUGCUACAAGGCACCAUUGAGUAAUUGUGAGAAGACCAUAUAGCCCCUGAACCCUAAAAUAUUUACAAUAUAGCCCUUCACAGAACAGAUGUGACAAUCACUUUUCUAGACCACCCAAGAGAAGAGAUGAAAUUAAAUACAGUUUUAGCACAAAGGAAUAGUGCAAUUUC